GCCUUACACAAGCUGCCUGACCAUACCCCCAGGUCAAGCCUUCCUCGGGCCUCCUCACCAUGCCUAUCGCCUGCCCUUUCCUCAAUCUACCCCAGUCCAUCAGACAUAAUUUAAGGGCCUCAACUUACCAAAGGAGUAUCAAAGAGUUGUUCCCUGAUUCCUCUUUCCUGGUAAACACUAAGAAAAUAUAACACAUACAGUAAAAGAGAUGACAGAGAAUGAAAAUGGUUAACUAGAAAAUAUCUGUUUUACACAAAAUAAGGACACAGUGAAGCAAGAAUGCAGAAGUCCAUCUAUUCCCUCCAAAUGGCAUAAUAGUAUU